CCUACGGGGGGCAGCAGUGGGGAAUUUUGGACAAUGGGCGCAAGCCUGAUCCAGCCAUGCCGCGUGCGGGAAGAAGGCCUUCGGGUUGUAAACCGCUUUUGGCCGGAACGAAACGGCGAUGCCUAACACGCGUCGCUAAUGACGGUACCGGCAGAAUAAGCACCGGCUAACUACGUGCCAGCAGCCGCGGUAAUACGUAGGGUGCGAGCGUUAAUCGGAAUUACUGGGCGUAAAGCGUACGCAGGCGGCCGAGCAAGACGGAUGUGAAAUCCCCGGGCCUAACCUGGGAACUGCAUUCGUGACUGCUCGGCUCGAGUCCGUCAGAGGGGGGUGGAAUUCCACGUGUAGCAGUGAAAUGCGUAGAUAUGUGGAGGAACACCGAUGGCGAAGGCAGCCCCCUGGGAUGAGACUGACGCUCAGGUACGAAAGCGUGGGGAGCAAACAGGAUUAGAUACCCCUGUAGUC
rnacentral:rRNA from 1 species